rnacentral:tRNA from 1 species
AAAGGCCUAGUUAAUAAAAUAAUAUUAGCUUGUCAGGCUAACGUUGCCAGCUCCUGGCGGUCUUUA